AUUGAACGCUAGCGGCAGGCUUAACACAUGCAAGUUGAGCGGGCAUAGCAAUAUGUCAGCGGCAGACGGGUGAGUAACGCGUGGGAACGUACCGUUCGGUUCGGAACAAUACACGGAAACUUGUGUUAAUACCGGAUACGCCCUCACGGGGAAAGAUUUAUCGCCGAAAGAUCGGCCCGCGUCUGGUUUGCGAGUAGGUGAGGUAAUGGCUCACAAAGGCGGCGAUCAGUAGCUGGGCUGAGGUGAUGAUCAGGCACAUUGGGACUGAGACACGACCCAAACUCCUACGGGAGGCAGCAGUGGGGAAUAUUGGACAAUGGGCGCAAGCCUGGUCCAGCCAUGCCGCGUAAGUGAUGAAGGCCCUUGGGGUGUAAAGCUCUUUUGUGCGGGAAGAUGAUGACGGUACCGCAAGAAUGAGCCCCGGCUAACUUCGUGCCAGCAGCCGCCGUAA
rnacentral:rRNA from 1 species